rnacentral:rRNA from 1 species
AUUGAACGCUGGCGGCGUGCCUAACACAUGCAAGUCGAGCGGUAACAGGUGUAGCAAUACAUGCUGACGAGCGGCGGACGGGUGAGUAACGCUUGGGAAUCUGCCUGUUAGUGGGGGACAACCCGGGGAAACUCGGGCUAAUACCGCAUACGCACUACGGUGGAAAGCCGGGGACCGCAAGGCCUGGCGCUAACAGAUGAGCCCAAGUCGGAUUAGCUAGUUGGUAGGGUAACGGCCUACCAAGGCGACGAUCCGUAACUGGUCUGAGAGGACGACCAGUCACACCGGAACUGAGACACGGUCCGGACUCCUACGGGAGGCAGCAGUGGGGAAUAUUGGACAAUGGGCGAAAGCCUGAUCCAGCGACGCCGCGUGGGUGAAGAAGGCCUGCGGGUUGUAAAGCCCUUUCGGUGGGGAAGAAAAGCCUCGAGUUAAUACCUCGGGUCUUGACGUAACCCAUAGAAGAAGCACCGGCUAACUCUGUGCCAGCCGCCGCAGUAAU